GCAUAUCAAUAAGCGGAGGAAAAGAAACUAACAAGGAUUCCCCUAGUAACGGCGAGCGAAGCGGGAAGAGCUCAAAUUUGAAAGCUGGCGUCUUCGGCGUCCGCGUUGUAAUCUCGAGACGUGUUUUCCGUGCGGCUCUAUGGACAAGUCCCUUGGAACAGGGCAUCGUAGAGGGUGAAAAUCCCGUACUUGCCAUGGAAGUACCGUGCUUUGUGAUACACGCUCCAAGAGUCGAGUAGUUUGGGAUUGCUGCUCAAAGUGGGUGGUAGACUCCAUCUAAAGCUAAAUAUCGGGGAGAGACCGAUAGCGAACAAGUACCGUGAGGGAAAGAUGAAAAGCACUUUGGAAAGAGAGUUAAAAGUACGUGAAAUUGUCGAAAGGGAAGCACUUGAAGUCAGCCAUGCUGCUUGAGACUCAGCCUGGCUUUUGCUUGGUGUAUUUCUCGGUAGCAAGCCAGCAUUGGUUUGUGUCGUCGGAGAAGCGUAUGGGGAAUGUGGCAUCCUCGGAUGUGUUAUAGCCCUGUGCAGGAUACGACGACGUAGACCAAGGAACGCAGUGUGCCCUCUGGGCGGGUCUUCGGACACCUUCACACUUAGGAUGCUGGCGUAAUGGCUUUAAGUGGCCCGUCUUGA
rnacentral:rRNA from 1 species